rnacentral:rRNA from 1 species
GGAAUAUUGGACAAUGGGCGCAAGCCUGAUCCAGCCAUGCCGCGUGAAGGAUGAAGGCCCUAUGGGUCGCAAACUUCUUUUAUACGGGAAAAAACCCCCGAUUGCGAUCGGGGUUGAUGGGACUGUAAACAUAAGGGUCGGCUAACUUCGUGCCAGCAGCCGCGGUAAUACGAAGGACCCGAGCGUUAUCCGGAUUUAUUGGGUUUCAAGGGUGCGUAGGCGGACCAAUAAGUCAGUGGUGAAAGCCCAUCGCUUAACGAUGGAAUUGCCAUUGAUACUGUUGGUCUUGAGUAUGGUUGAGGUGGGCGGAAUGUGUCAUGUAGCGGUGAAAUGCUUAGAUAUGACACAGAACACCAAUUGCGAAGGCAGCUCGCUAAGCCAUAACUGACGCUGAGGCACGAAAGCGUGGGGAGCAAAC